rnacentral:lncRNA from 1 species
AUGGGGCCCCUUCCAGGAGCCAGCCAGUCUGUAUGCACAGAGUGCCGGAAGCCAUUUCCAGAGCUGACAUCUGUGUGUUUCCAUCUCCUCAUGUUUUCCGCUCACAGCCACAUUGCUUCAGUGUCACGACCUUUAAAAACUUCUCAUCUACUGACCCCCCAUUCCAGCAGCUCUUCCUUUGGGGGGUGGUGCCCUCGCCAUGAGCCAGAUCUGAGCACCUUCACCCUUCGUGGUCCCUGAA